rnacentral:rRNA from 1 species
UACGGAGGGGGCUAGCGUUGUUCGGAAUUACUGGGCGUAAAGCGCACGUAGGUGGCUUUGUAAGUUAGAGGUGAAAGCCCGGGGCUCAACCCCGGAAUUGCCUUUAAGACUGCAUUGCUUGAACGUCGGAGAGGUGAGUGGAAUUCCGAGUGUAGAGGUGAAAUUCGUAGAUAUUCGGAAGAACACCAGUGGCGAAGGCGGCUGCACUGGCUCGGUACUGACGCUGAGGUGCGAAAGCGUGGGGAGCAAACAGG